rnacentral:tRNA from 1 species
GCGCGCAUGGCGGAAUUGGCAGACGCACCAGACUUAGGAUCUGGCGGAGUAAUCCUUGGGGGUUCAAGUCCCUCUGCGCGCACCA